GUAGGUGAACCUGCGGAAGGAUCAUUAUUGAAAUAAACCUGAUGGGUUGUUGCUGGUUCUCUAGGGAGCAUGUGCACGCCUUGUCAUCUUUAUAUCUCCACCUGUGCACCUUUUGUAGACCUUUCAGGUCUAUGUUGCUCCAUUUACCCCAAUGUAUGCUAAUAGAAUGUUGUGCCUAUAUAAUAUAUACAACUUUCAACAACGGAUCUCUUGGUUCUG
rnacentral:misc_RNA from 1 species